rnacentral:tRNA from 2 species
GCGCCUCUAGCUCAAUGGCAGAGCAACGGACUCUUAAUCCGCAGGUUUCGGGUUCGAAUCCCGAGGGGCGCACCA